GAUGAACGCUGACAGAAUGCUUAACACAUGCAAGUCUUUGGCGAAGCUGUGCUUGCACAGCCUAGCCAAGGCGGACGGGUGAGUAACGCGUAAGGAACCUGCCCUGCAGUCAGGGAUAACAGACGGAAACGACUGAUAAGACCUGGUAAAGUCAGGCGGACUCAUGUCCAGCCUGAUGAAAAGAGAUGCUGCAGGAGAGCCUUGCGUCCUAUUAGCUUGUUGGUGGGGUAACGGCCCACCAAGGCGAUGAUAGGUAGCCGGCCUGAGAGGGUGGACGGCCACAAGGGGACUGAGAUACGGCCCUUACUCCUACGGGAGGCAGCAGUGGGGAAUAUUGGACAAUGGGGGCAACCCUGAUCCAGCAAUUCUGUGUGCACGAUGAAGGUUUUCGGAUUGUAAAGUGCUUUCAGCAGGGAAGAAAAAAUGACGGUACCUGCAGAAGAAGCGACGGCUAAAUACGUG
rnacentral:rRNA from 1 species